GAUCCUGUGGCUCAGUUGGUAAGAGCUUUGCACUAGUAAUGCCAAGGUCAUGGGUUCAAUUCCUAAGCAGGGAUCA